AUGGAGGGAUGGAUAACAUUAUGUUUAAUAGUCCUAUCCACGUUAGUAGCCCUUUGGUUUUCUGGAUGCAGUAGACGGUCCAAGAAGAACCGGCCUCCUGGGCCAUGGACUCUCCCAGUCAUCGGUAAUCUCCACCAGAUCCUGAGAGCCCUCCCACACCGCGCCCUUACUGAUCUGGGUCGCCGGCAUGGGCCAGUUAUGCUCCUCAAGCUAGGAGAGAUCCCCACCGUGGUGGUCUCCAGCGCUGAGGUGGUGGCCCAGGUGUUCAAGGCCAAUGACAUCGCCCUGUCGAACCAUAGUACCAGCAGGUUGCAGGACAUCGUGGGCUUCGGAGGUAAGGGCAUCCACUUCGCCCUCUACGGUGAUCACUGGCGCCAGAUGCGCAAGGUAUGCAUCACGGAGCUCCUCACAUCCAAGCAGGUGAAGCGCAUGGAGGGUGUCAGGGCCGAGGAGGUAGGAAACCUCCUCCGCUCCAUCAACAUAGCAAUAGCUGCCGGCGCUACCAUCAACAUCAGCGACAAGGUGGUGGCGCUCAGCAAUCACGUUGUGACACGAGCAGUGUUCGGCGGCAAGGUUGCACGGCAGGAAGAGUACCUUGACGAGAUCGACAAACUCAUGGACCUGAUAGGAGGCUUCUGCCUUGUGGACCUCUUCCCGUCGUCGCGGCUUGUGCAGUGGUUCAGCACUGCCGAGCGCCGCACAAAGACGAUUUGUGAUCACAUCCACAACAUCAUCACCGACAUCCUUGAGGAGCGCAAGGUAGCGCGAGCAUCCGGUAAUGACGGCAGCAGCAACAAUGACGACAUGCUGGACGUGUUGCUCAGACUGCUGGAGGAGGAUUCGCUGGCGUACCCUCUGACCACCGAGAUUAUAGUCACCAUCUUGUUUGACAUGUUUGGAGGUGCCACAGAGACUACAGGGACCACUUUGGUCUGGGCUAUGUCGGAACUCGUAAGACAUCCUAACGUUAUGGCUAAUGCACAGCUAGAGGUUCGAGAUCUUCUAGGUGAAGGCCGAGCUAUCAUUGGUAACAGCGAUCUUGCAGAACUCCACUACUUGCCGAUGGUCAUCAAGGAGGUUCUUAGAUUGCAUCCACCUGGUCCGUUAAUCCCUCGCAGGACUAGAGAGGAUUGCAAUAUUAUGGGUUAUGACAUUCCCAAAGAUACAAAUAUAUUCAUUAAUACCUUUGCAACAUCCCGGGAUCCUCAAUAUUGGGACAGUCCUGAAGUGUUUAAUCCAGAGAGGUUUGCAAACAAGAAUAUUGAUUAUAAUGGGACAUGUUUUGAAUUCACUCCAUUCGGAGGUGGGCGAAGGAAAUGUCCUGGAGUAGGCUUCGCCUCAUCAAUUUUGGAGAUUACUUUGGCAAACUUUCUGUAUCACUUUGAUUGGACGCUUCCCGGCGGAGCCAGCUCAGCGUCCCUUGAUAUGUCUGAGAAAUUUGGGGUAACUGUACGUAAAAGGUCUGACCUAUGGCUCAAGGCUAUUCCACAUGCACGCUCCAAAGCUACACAUAUAUAG
rnacentral:rRNA from 1 species